GGCCCGUGGCGAAGCCUGGAUAUCGCGGCAGCCUCCUAAGCUGACGGCCGGGGGUUCGAAACCGUUUUCCA
rnacentral:tRNA from 1 species